UCUAACUUGUUUGACUUGUUGAGGAAGAGCUUGGCUGACAGCUGAACACUCACACAGACAGAAACACUGAGACUAAAGACUUCUGAAUCUACAGAAGUACAGAGCGAGAGAAACAUGGUGUGACUGAUCAUCAACGCCUGCAGGUUCGUGGCGAGGAAGAUCCGCGCUUCGGUGAAAGGAGAGGCACAGCCGGAGAAAACCAGCACCACAGCAUGUAGAGCGACCAAAGAAAGGGACGUCAGGAUGAGCUCUGAUCAUCCCGCCUUGAUUCAACCAGAAUCCUCUGUUGCUCGGCAGAGAGACGACUGCGGAUCCUGAAAGUAAACUGACAGCCGGAGGUUCACUGCGAGGAGGAAUACACACACACACACGGUAACACACAUGCACAUCUACAGCUCACAACCUUUACAGACUCCUCCAUUAUAAAUUAAUUUCCACUCAUAAUUUAUUAGAUUACUUACCUCAGUAGUAAAUGUUUCAUACUUCAGACAUCAGAACUUCCCCUCUGCAGAUUUUUUUCUGCAUUCACGCUCCAUCCCCAGUACCAUUAUCACACACACACACACACACCGCAUGUCCUCCUCCCAUCAUCCAGCUGUCAGGUUUCUCAUCCUUCCUGUGUGAAUUGCAAUGAUCAGUCUGAUCAGAAGAGAGAAUGAAGGUCUGAUCACCAAGUCCUCCUCAGAGGAAUCGAUCAGACUGGAUCAACAUGAAGACUCUGCUGAAGAAGCUGCACUCAUUCAUUCAUCUAAAUCAACCAGUCAAUCUUUAUUUGUAUAGUGCCAAUUCAAGAUUAUAGAUCUCCAGUAUGUCUGUUCAUAAACGGGUCAGUCUCUGUGAAACGCAUCAGUAAAGAACAUUUCUAAUGUGAGUCUGUGUGUCAUGAUUUUCUAUCUUUGCUCUUAGUCAGAUGAUCAAACUCAUCUCUGCCAAGUUUUCUGGGUCAGUAUUAAAACCUCUAAACUAGUGCAGCGGUGACAUUUAAUUAAGAUGUAUCAGGUAGAUAGAGUUGACCUGACUGCAGUCAGAUGAUCCUCAUGCUGCAUACAGGACUGGGAUGUUAGCUGACAGGAUAAAAUAAGAAUUAUAAUAACUUGCUUGUUUUCAUAGGUUCAUUGUACAUACGUUUCAUUCAUUGCACAUAGGUUCUCUAUUCUUAUUCCUGCACAGGUUAUACACAUUUUCUUGGCACAGGUCCAAUUUUUAAAUUGUAUGGGGUAAAUUUUGUUCUAUUUCAGGUUUCCUUAAGUCUUUGUUUGGGUUAAUAAAUAUGGGAGAGGGGACAGCGGUUGUGUUAGAUGGGACAAAUAUCUCAUGUCAUGUGUGUCUUGUGAGCUUCUACUGGAUGCUUGGAAUUUCCCUCAGAGUCAAUAAAGUAUCCAUGCAUCCCUCCCUCCAUCCAUCCAUCCAUCCAUCCAUCCAUCCAUCCCUCCCUCCCUCCAUCCAUCCAUCACUCCAUCCAUCCAUCUGCUGGAUGUCAACAUGUUUGGAAGGCUGCAAACCAAAAAGAUACAUACAAAAGAUGCACCUAAAAAUUCAGCCGGAUAUCCUCUUCAUGAACAGAUAAUGAUGAUUCCUGCCAUCAUACUUUUUUUCAUUUCACUCUUUAUGUUGUUAAGUCAGUGUUUGUAUCAGUAAAACCAGGUAACAACAAACAGAUACGAAUAUAUUAGCUUUUAUUAUUAAAUUAUGCAUCUUAACGAUAGUCCCCUAACAAAACUGCAGUUGUACAAAUAAUACAGAAGAAGAAUAAUUACAUGACAUGGUGCAAUUUUUGUACAUAUAGACAUUUGUGUAAAAACAAACGUAUUCCCUUUAUUCAAAUAAAUAAAAAACUUAUAGACAAGUAAAGUAAAGUUACCGCGUGCCUUUUACUUAAAGCAACAUUAUGUAGGAUUUGAGAGACACGGCGCCCCCUGCAGUAUGGGAGGGCACAUCACACCCUCAUGUAGACAUAAAAGCCAGUUUGAGAUUUAGACGGCAAAAUGGCAGGACUUCACCUCUCUGACAAACUUUUAGACUUGGCAGAUUAAUUAAUAUUGAAUGAGAGAACAUUGGAUUAAAACAGGGAAGAUUUAUUUUUAAUGUCAUAGGGGACUUUAAGUCUGUCAUUCAGGAAGCCGUGCUAACUCAAGUUGCAAAGUCCAUCUGAACAAUGGAUCAGAAUUAAAGAGGCUCCAAUCUGCCUUUAUCAAGUCACUGUUCCAUCAAACUGACUGUAAAACUGUUAUUUAACACUAACAGCUACAUAUUGUUGCUUUAAUCAGCCUGUGUAACUACAAACCGGGUAACUUCACGAUUAAUUAGUUGUCCUGGUUGGUUUCUCUUUGAACUGUUGCAAACAGUGCAGAGAAAACCACUUAGUGAAAUAAAAAAGGUUUCUAAUGAUCAUAAAUGGCUAAUGUGGUAAAGCUACUGUUAAAGUUUCCAUCUUUCUCCAUUUGUUUGGAUUGAUAGAUCACUGAUGAACAUCUGCAUUUGGAGGGUGAAAAUCAUAAAAAAAAAAAGUAAAGUAUAGAAAAACAAACUGAAGGAAAGAUUAGGCACUGGUACAGGAGGCAGUAUUGUAUCACCUAUCUACAGAAAACAGCAGUGAAUGAUCUCAGGCCUACACUUGACCUCCACACAUCAUAAAUAUAUUCUACUGAAAUGCAGAAAUAAUCAGCAUUUAAAGUCAGUAAGAAAAGGUUGCGCACAUUUUGGAGGUGCAACAGGCUCAGUUCUAUUUCCUUUCACCCAUACGCUGGAUGAAACUCACAGCGGCUCUAUUUCUGACAGAUUCCCACAUAGUUUACAGACAAAACCAGAAAGAUUGCAGUGCUUUCUUUACUGUCCACACAGAAGAAGACACACAAUCGGUGGAGCUGCUGCUUUCCGUUUGUGAGGAAACCAUCCACACUGUCAGCCCCACAAAGGAGAGCGUUGUGGAGGUGAAGCUCCGUCCUGAUGGGGGUCUCCAUGCUCUGAUGGUGCUCCUUCUCCUGCAUGCUGUCAUUAUUCUUCUGAACCUGCCUCCGGUACAGGAGACGGGUCACCACGGCCAGGAUACAAACAGUGAUGAACACCACUGCUGUCGCCACACCUGAGGAGUAGCAAACACGUACACAUUAAAGGUUGUGGGAUGUUAUGGAGUUUGCCAAUGUCCCACAGUUUGAUUGGACUACUGAGCCUCUGAUCGUGACCAACGAGCUGCCUCGAUUCUGCAGGGCCGCUUUCAGAGGAGCCACGUGAUUGAACUGGACCGAAGAUAG